UGAAGUUGGACCGAACCAUUAGGACGUGC
rnacentral:piRNA from 1 species